CUUAGGCUUAGGAUAUUUUGUCGAAGAGCUUCUAGAGAGGAAAGAAGAGGAAAAGGGAGGAAGAUGAGAGAAUUCAAUCUAGGAGAUUAGAGCUUGGGAAUUGAAGGGGGAAACCAAGGAUCUAGCUCAAGGUCACUUGCCGGAAGGGACCAUUACGCGACCGAAUCACUGUGGUCAGCUUGGAGGCCAGCCCUAGGUCAGCUUCAAGCGCCUUUUGUGGACAUUUUUGUUAAGUCCUACAUUGGAGUCUUUUGUCUCUUAAGGAGUUCAAUGCCACAUUUUUGUUAAAUUCUUGGUGGCUUUUGUUACAAAUUUUGUGAUUAUGUAACUUUUGAGGUUCUUAACUCCUUGUACGUACACAUGCUUGGAUUCUAUUUUUAUUUGAAUGGUGCAUGUAAACUUCUCCGUUUAUGAGAUAUGUAAUAAUCUUGCCAUAUAGACACUG